GGAAAUGGCUUUGUCAAGCAGUUCUGGGCACAGGUAUUUCUCUGUUUAUUUCCAAACUCCAAUACAGAGGAGCAGGCCAGUGGAACCUGCACUGGCGAGGAGAAGCUGGAAAAUCUCCCUUCGUCUGGCUUUGAGAUGAGCAUAACAAGCCACAGCUAUAGCGUCUAUAAUGCUGUUUAUGCCACAGCACAUGCUUUACAUGCCAUGUUCUUGUCCAGGACCAAAUACAGGGCAGCGGUGGAAGGAGGGAUGCAGAAGCUUCAGAAACUGCAGCCUUGGCAGGUAAUGCCUAUUAUAACGUACAAGUUAUUUGACAUGGGCAGUGAAGUGAUCUCUUUCAGCUUUUGCCUUCCGGAAGAAAGUACAGGGUUAUAAAGACUAGGACUAGCCUCCUGAGAAACAGUUUUUAUUCGAGUGUGAUUUUGGUUUUAAACACAGUGUAAGGUAGUCUCUAUGGGAGUCUGUUGUAUUUAAUGAACCAGGCUGGGAUAGCUGGGAUAGCAGGCUUGUUGGUUUCUGAAUGUGUGAUGUAGAUUUUAAGUUUCAUUGUUCUGUAUGGGACAAUGACAAUAAAGAUUAUCGUAUCGUAUCGAAAUGUAGAAGACUACACUGAAAAUUUUCAAGUACUGACUGCAAACUAGGAUCCUCCGCUUAACGUAUGCAGAUAAGCUGCUCCUCCAGCUGUUAAGCAGUUGCUGCGAAUCCUGCACUGUCCUGCUUCUUUGUUGUUGCUUUUUUAAUUAAUUUUUAUUAACAGGCCAAUCAAAUCACAUUAAUUAUAAAUCACAUUAGUUCCAAAUUAUACAGCCAAAUUUUUAAAUUUUUGUUGGGGGUACCCAUACUUCGAGCUCCAAAAGGGAUCCAAACAUCACUCUUGUUGCUGCUUUAAUUACACAGUUCUGUCCAGUUCUGUCCAGAUAGUCUCUUUGUUAUUUUCCUCAUCUUCUUGUUGUUAUCAUAUAUUCCUUUCUUUGUGAUCUCUGAUAAUCUUCACAAGCGGGCUGAAAACAAACAUAUCCUGUGUGGAUAUUACACUCUCCAAGAGCCAUUUCCACACCUCCGCAAAGAACAUUCCCACAGUCUGUCCGUUGAUUUCCACAGGCUUGCCAAUCUGUAUCUAAGGGGGCCCUGCCAGGUCAAAUUCACAUUCCGAUAACCAUACAUUCACAUUCCAAUGACCAUGGUCCUCCCCCCCCUCGUCCUCCUGUGGGCAGGCCUGUCUUAACGAAUCUCCAUUUGUAACUGCGUCAUAAAGCUUUCUUUCCAUCCGAUGUUCCCACCAGUCCUCUCUUUGAUCAGUAAUUCAUUUCCAGACAGUUCUUAAUCUCCUGCUUGUGAUUAGUAAUUUGCGACGAUUCUUUCUAUGUGGGGGGGAGGGUUAUUGGGUACUCACAUAAGACACACAAAAAAGAAAAGUUUUUCCUCCCCCCUUUCUGUUUCGCUCUGACAUACCGAUCUUUUAAUGAUGAGUCUUCACUUGAUUUAUUGUCCAACCCAUCGCUCUACAUCAUAGAGAUCCCAUUAAUCAGCAGUCUUUACUCCCGAUCUUCACUUGAAGUAUGUGCAUUUGCUUCUAUUCCAAUUAAAUAUUUCGAGCUGAUGCAAACCAGUGCACGAUUCAGAGACAGCGUCCGGGAGAGCCGACUCCACCCGAGGGCUUUGUGCCUAGUGCCCUCACCCCCUCCUUUCGAAUCCAGGGGUGAAUUAUGGACACAGCAGGCAAGGCAGUACCCCCAAUUCCCUGGGGGGGGAGGGAGACUGCAUACUCCCAUAACAGCCUCUUAAUUACCUCGUGUGGGUCGGAGAGAUGUUACUGUCGGCCAUCUUCCAAUGCGCCCCCUGGUGGCCCCCCUGUGCUGCUUCUUUGUUAGUAGGUAUCUAUGUUUGUAGAGAAACUGUAAGUGAAGCAGGAUCUGAUCUUGCUCUGUCCUGCUCCUUUACAAGCAGUUUCUCUGCACACAAGUUGAGGGGAGGAUACAAGCCUACAAUGAGAGGAGAAGGUGAGAGCAGCUCAGAGAAUUCACAUGUAGGCUGAGUUUCCCCAAACCAAAAGGCUUUGUUGCCCGUUUGCUCCCAAAGUGAAGGGAAGUGACAUAGACGAAGCCUGAUAGGACAACUUGCUGCAUGGAAUUAACCCCCUUCACGGGUUGAUUAGAAGCAUGAUGGUUAUAUGAGGCCUACAAUUCUCUUCCAUGGGGUGGGAGAUAUUCAAGGGGUGGGAACUGAAAUCCAUGGAUUUUGGUCGGGAAUGCAUUAGGAUUUUCCCUAUAGGAGAGAAAGGAAAUCAUUGGCUCUCUCUGUGAAUGCUCGCCUUACGAACCAAUUCCAAUGAGUGGAUUCUGUUUGCAUAGGAGUCCCUGCCAGAACUGAACGCUGAAGGCAUCCUGAGUGUCAGUAAGGAGAGACAUAUGCAUUACUUCAUAGUUCCUAUUUUUCUUCCAAUGCAGCUCCAUCCCUUCCUUAGGAGUGUCUCCUUUAACAACUCUGCUGAAGAAACGGUAUCUUUCAGUGAGAGCAGGGAAGCAGAAGCUGGCUUUGAUAUUGCCAACAUAGUGACUUUUCCAAAUAACUCCUUCAUGAGAGUCAAGGUUGGAAGACUGGGUGGGGAGGCUGUCCCAGGCCAGCUGAUUUCCAUUGAUGACAACAGACUGGUGUGGCACCAAAGCUUUCACCAGGUGAGGCAUAAUUCUUACAUCCUUGAGAGACGGGAAAAGAGAAUAUCUUUAACAUAUAGAGAUAGGAAAAGAGAAUAUAUUUAACAUUACAUUCCAACAGAUUACGCUCCAUUUGAGAUAUUUGUUCCCCAGAUGGUCAGGUUGAGUACACUUUUUUAAAGCAUGAAUAGAAAAAUGAGUAGUUUGGCUCUGAGUCUGGAAUAAGUAUUUUAGUGUCUUCCUAUUUCUAGCUGGGGGUGGGUUGAAAUACUACUAAUUUCUGUGUGCUAAAAUGUUUAUGUGUUUAUUUAAAUGGGCAGGUUUCACCCCUUUCGUUAUGUAACCCAAGUUGCCCUCCUGGUUCCAGGAAGGAAAAGAAGGAGGGGGAGCCAUUCUGCUGCUAUGAUUGUGCUCCAUGUCCUCAAGGCAAGAUUUCAUCACAGAAAGGUAGGAGACACAAUAUAUACAUGGUACUUUUCAAAUGUAUAAAGGAGACAUCUGUGAUAUUUCUAUUUGAACCUUAAGAGUUUCACAGUGCUAGCAUUUGUAGUUGCUAUCCAGAACAUCUGAAAUCUGAAUAUAUUAUUUUCUCUCCAGAUAUGGAUGACUGUGUUGGGUGCCCCGAAGAUCACUAUCCACACAGAGACCAAUCACAAUGCAUUCCAAAGACCAUCAGCUUCCUGUCUUUUAAAGAGCCUCUGGGGAUGAGCUUAACAUUGUUUGCUCUUUCUCUCUUUCUCUUCACAAUAUUAGUCCUUGCCAUCUUCAUUAAACAUCAGGACACACCCAUUGUCAGAGCAAACAAUCGGGACCUCACCUACACUCUCCUCACUUUCCUCCUGCUCUGCUUCCUCUGCCCAUUGAUCUUCCUUUGCCCUCCAGAAAGAGUGAGCUGCCUGCUCCGACAAAUGGCUUUUGGCCUUGUUUUCACAGUGACCGUUUCUUGUGUUCUGGCCAAAACGAUCACGGUGGUUCUGGCCUUUGUGGCCACCAAACCAGGAUCCCAAAUGAGGAAGUGGGUGGGGAAAAGACUGGCAAGCUCCAUUGUGAUUUCUUGUUCCCUUAUCCAAGCAGGCAUUUGCACUGUGUGGUUAGGAACAUCUCCCCCAUUCCCUGAUUCUGACAUGCACUCUGCGAUGAGGGAAAUUAUUCUAGGCUGCAACGAAGGGUCAGUUGCCCUGUUUUACUGUGUCCUGGGCUACAUGGGCUUUUUGGCCAUUCUCAGCUUUGUUGUGGCCUUUUUCGCCAGGAAACUGCCUGACAGCUUUAAUGAGGCCAAAUUCAUCACCUUCAGCAUGUUGCUCUUUUGUAGUGUUUGGAUCUCGUUUGUUCCAGUGUACCUGAGCACCAAGGGGAAAUACAUGGUGGCUGUGGAGAUCUUCUCCAUCUUGGCCUCCAGUGCUGGGAUACUGGGCUCCAUCUUUGCCCCCAAAUGCUACAUCAUUGUGUUGAGGCCUGAUCUGAACUGCAAGGAGAAGUUAAUAAAGAAGAAAUAACAAAUUACCCUAACAUCUCUGGUUUUUGUUCUAUCAGAAUAUGGGCAAAUUAAUCUCUCUUUUUCUACAUCGUAUAACCAUGUUGUAUUUUAUCUGUUACAAUUCCUAUGUGAUUCUCCAGUAAGUAAGGUUUCAGUGGAACUGCUACCGUCAGGAUUAAUCAGUAGCAUUGAUUUCAGUAGUUACAGGCAAUAUUUGCUACACAAUUUCUGGAUUUUUUAAUUAUUUCUUUACUUUUCAAUUUCUUUUUUUUUAUUUAAAUGAUAUUUAUUAAAAGUUUAAAAAUUACAGAAAAAGAAAAAAAAAUAAAAAUAAAAAAGAACAGUAACAAAACAUAUAAAACAUAUAAAAGCAAUACAACAAUACAGCAAAAAAGAAAAACAAAGAAGAAACUAAAACAAGCAUCCAAUAUUCCAUAUCUUUACCUUUCCUUUACUUGUUUCAUCGACCUCCUCACACCUCCCUUUUUUUGUAUUCUAGUUCAAUUCACUAUUUCAGCAAGUUCUUUCCAUCUUUCUCAAUUUUUAUUCUAUAAUUUAUCUUAACGAUCUAACCUUGAUUUUUUUCAUUUCAACCCAUUAUCAAUCAGCUUUUACUUAAUUCUUUGUUACAUUUCUACUAAAACCAUGUAACUUCAUUCCAGCAUCCUUCUAACACUCAUUAAUUUUACAAUGUUUCUGUAAAUAUACUUUAAAUUUUUUCCAGUCUUCUUCCACCAACUCUUCUCCCUGGUCUCGAAUUCUGCCAGUCAUUUCCGCCAGUUCCAUGUACCCCAUCAGCUUCAUCUGCCAUUCUUCCCUGGUGGGUAGAUCUUGUGUCUUCCAAUACUUUGCAAUAAGUAUUCUUGCUGCUGUUGUAGCGUACAUAAAAAAAGUUCUAUCUUUCUUUGGCACCAAUUGGCCGACCAUGCCCAGGAGAAAGGCCUCUGGUUUCUUCAGAAAGGUAUAUUUAAACACCUUUUUCAUUUCAUUAUAGAUCAUCUCCCAGAAUGCCUUAAUCUUUGGGCAUGUCCACCAAAGGUGAAAGAAUGUACCUUCAGUUUCAUUACAUUUCCAACAUUUAUUAUCGGGCAAAUGAUAGAUUUUUGCAAGCUUGACUGGUGUUAUGUACCACCUAUAAAUCAUUUUCAUUAAAUUCUCUUUUAAGGCACUGCAUGCCGUAAACUUCAUACCAGUGGUCCAUAACUGUUCCCAGUCAGCCAUCAUAAUAUUAUGUCCAACAUCUUGUGCCCAUUUAAUCAUAGCAGAUUUCACCAUUUCAUUUUGAGUAUUCCAUUUCAACAGCAAGUUAUACAUUCUUGACAAAUUAACUUUAGGGUCUAACAAUUCUGUUUCCAACUUUGAUUUUUCCACCUGGAAGCCAAUUUUUUUAUCCAAAUUGUACGCCUCCAUUAUUUGAUAAUAAUGGAGCCAAUCUCGUACUCUGUUUUUUAGUUUUUCAAAGCUCUGCAGUUUUAAUCUGUCACCCUCUUGUUCCAAAAUUUCCCAAUACUUCAGCCAUUUGGCCUCCAUAUUGAGUUUUUUCUGAGCCUUUGCUUCCAUUGGUGACAACCAUCUCGGGGUUUUAUUUUCUAACAAAUCCUUAUAUCUUAUCCAGACAUUAAACAGUGCUUUUCUUACAAUAUGGUUUUUGAACACUUUGUGUGCUUUAACCUUAUCAUACCACAAAUAUGCAUGCCAACCAAAUACAUUAUUGAAACCUUCCAAAUCCAAAACAUCCGUGUUUUCAAGACGCAUCCAUUCUCUCAGCCAACAAAAAGCGGCUGAUUUAUAAUAAAGUGUUAAGUCUGGCAGGGCAAAUCCACCUCUUUCUUUAGCAUCAGUUAAUAUCUUAAAUUUUAUACGAGGCUUCUUGCCCUGCCAGACAAAUCUGGAAAUAUCUCUCUGCCACUUCUCGAAACAGUCCAUUUUGUCCAAAAUUUGCAGUGUUUGAAACAAAAAUAGCAUUCUUGGCAAUACAUUCAUUUUUAUCACAGCAAUUUGGCCCAGCAGUGAAAGCUUCAAAUUUGACCAUAUUUCUAAAUCUUUUUUCACUUCAGUCCAACAUUUUUCAUAAUUAUCCUUAAAUAAAUUCACAUUCUUAGCAGUCAUAUUAACCCCUAAAUAUUUCACUUUCUUAGCCAGCGUCAGUCCUGUCUCCUUCUGAAACUUCUCUCUCUCUAUCUCUGUUAGGUUCUUUUCUAAAACCUUAGUUUUCAUCUUAUUCAACUUAAAACCUGCUACCUGACCAAAUUCUUGAAUUAGUUCUAAUACUCUUUUAGUGCUAGGUUCUGGCUCCUGUAAAGUCAAUACUAAAUCAUCAGCAAAUGCUUUCAAUUUGUACUGUUUGGCUCCCACUUGUAUACCUUUUACCAAUUGGUCCCUUCUAUACUUUUCAAUUUCAAUACCACUUUAUAUUUUUAAUAAAAAUCUCAAAGUGGUGUACAGCAUAUCAAAACAAAUAAAACAAUAAUGCAAUAGCUGGGUGAUGUUCCUCCGGCCUCAUUGGUCUUACUUAUAACAAGGGUGGUAUUGCUAAUGGGCUUUGGUUCAGAAGAUGGGACUGGUUGGUUCUGAAUGAAUAUUUUGAAGAAAAACCGUUUUGAACAUGAGUGCAACAAAAAUCCUUUUAAUUAGAAAAUACAAUAUUAUCACACAUUCUUGGGAAAAUGGUGGAACAAGAAAUUUGGUAAAUAAAAAGACCAUUUUAUUCCAUAACCCACUAUGAAUACUGAAUACAUCUGGGCAAUUGUAAAGUUAAUUCUCUCUUACAUCUUGAUAUCUCAGAUACGUUAAUUAACCAUUCCUUUUGUAUUUGCUAAUCAUUUUUUCUUUAUUACAUCUAUAUACCACCCCUCCAAAUAGUUCUUUGUUUCACAUACUCACAUUUUUUGGGGCAGUCUAUAUGUUUCCAUAUCUGAGGUGUUUUUCUAUUAGGAGCGGAAAUAGCUGCUUGUGCUUAUAAUAAUAAUAUAAUAAUACUUUAUUAUUUAUACCCCACUCAUCUGGCUGUUUUCCCCCAGCCAUUCUGGGCAGCUUCCAGCACAAUAUUAAAAUACAAUGAUUCAUCAAAUAUUAAAAGCUUCUCUAAACAGGGCUGCCUUCAGAUGUCUUCUAAAAGUCUGAUAGUUGUUUAUAUCUUUGACAUCUGAUGGGAGGGCGUUCUACAGGGCGGGCGCCACUACCAAGAAGGCCCUCUGCCUGCUUCCCUGUAACCUCACUUUUCGCAGUGAGGGAACCACCAGAAGGCCCUUGGCGCUGGACUUCAGUGUCUAGGCUGAACAAUGGGGAUGGAGACACUCCUUCAUGUAUACUGGGCCGAGGCCAUUUAGGGCUUUAAAGGUCAGCACCAACACUUUGAAUUGUGCCCAGAAAAUUACUGGGAGCCAAUGUAGGUCUUUCAGGAUGAGUGUUAUGUGGUCUUGGCAGCCUCUCCCAGUCACCAGUCUAACUGCCGCAUUCUGAAUUAGUUGUAGUUUCUAGGUCACUUUCAAAGGUAGCUGUCAGGGAACUGCCAUCAGUGCCGGAGGGAGAGAGCAAAAUCCAGAGGGAUUCCAGAGAGCAUCCCGGGAUUGGAAGAGGCAGCCAAUCUUCUGGGGAAGAGAAUCAGUGUAGCACCAGUGGAGAAGGGGGGCAGAUGGGGGAAGCGGCGAGGCGGUCCCAUGACUCCUUGCCAGGGACCAGUGGUGAGAGUAGAGGUCCUCCGCUGCCUACGCCCUCCUUGCGCAGAAGGCUUUCGCGCAGAGAGAGUAGGAGGAGACUAGGCGUCAAAGAGCUUCUUUGCUGGAAGAAGUUUAAGAAAUGCCCACUGACGGAUUCUGCCAGCGAUUGAGACAGCCACGGGUGAGUGGCUGUCUGGACAGAAAAGGUUCACACAGGCAAUCCAGCCAGGUGUUUGCACCGGCUUAUGCACGAGCAACCCCUAGAACCAUUACAGUAGCCCUACACAGAGCCCAUUGCAGUAGUCCAAGCAGGAGAUAACCAGAGCAUGCACCACUCUGGCAAGACAUUCCAAGGACAGGUAGGGUCUCAGCCUGCGUACCGGAUGGAGCUGGUAGACAGCUGCCCAGGACACAGAAUUGACCUGUGCCUUCAUGGACAGCUGUGAGUCCAAAAUGACUCCCAGGCUGUGCACCCGGUCCUUCAGGGGCACAGUUACCUCAUUCUGGACCAGGGAGUCCUCCACACCAGCCCACCCCCUGUCCCCCAGAAACAGUACUUCUGUCUUGUCAGGAUUCAACCUCAAUCUGUUAGCUGCAAUCCAUCCUCCAACCGCCUCCAGACACUCACACAGAACUUGCAAAGAAUGUGUGGUUUCUGAACACCUUCUCAGGGUUAAUUUCCCAAUGCUGCAGGACAUGUAAAGGAGACGAGAGAGAUGCUAGCAUAUCAGGAAGGAGUGGGGUUUUCGAGUUCUAGUUUAACCAUAGGGGCCCAGCCUAUGAUCCUCCAUAGGCAAACAAGUAAAAGAGAUGGCUUAUACCUGUUAGAUAAGUUGAGGGUUAUGUUGUCUGGAAAGAUGAGCUGGGCCCUUUGGGAAAAUCAGCCCUGACAGCAGCCCUACAUACCACAUUCAGAUGAAAUCCUACAAUAAGAAGUGAAAGCAGCUAAUAGAAGCAAAUACGUUAUUGAGAGACUGCAGGACCAAGCAGAACCAUUUUACCUUAAAAUUACAUUUAAGGAAGAUACCAAGACACUCUUGGAAUUUGAGCAGGGCCCCAAAACAGCAAAAACUAGCUUACCUCACCCUAAUUACAACCUUUAGAAUCAUAGGCCCCACCAGCAGGCUUUAUCCAGAAAUAUAUGGCCUAUUGCUCUCUAUCAGUCUACCGAAGAAGCUACAAGCUCAGAAACCAUGGCUCUCUUGGACUCCUAUACCAAUAAUUUGGAGCUUUCACCACUGUAACUAAGCCAAGUGCUACUGCCUGUGUUUUCUGACUGAUGUAUGGAGAAACACAUGAACCUGACCUUUGAAGCGUUUGUAAGUAAGCCAGUUUUCACUGACCAGAUGUGUGGUCCUUUUCAAUGGUAAGAGGAGAAGGAAGUUUUGGAACUCAUGGGAGUAUAUUUUUAAGAUCUAACAACCUAUAUUUCCACGCCUUAUUUGCUGAAUAUUUUGUGAUUUGAAACAUCUGCUGGGGUUCUCUCACCAAAGAGUACUUGCCCCAAACAUGGAUCUUGGCAUCCAGGGAAUUCUCCCUUUUUAUACUUAAUUUUCCUUGCAACCUACACAAAUCAUCUGUCAUAACUCAAUCUCUUUCACAAUUUUUCACUCUUAGUAUGAUUGUCAGUAAAUUAAUGAACAGAUGUUCAGGGUGGAAUUUUUGGAGGUCAGACUUAUCAUUUCCACUCUUCAGAUGAAGCUUUUCUUUUUUUUUUUUAAAUAAUUUUUAUUAAGGUUUUAAACAAAGAAAAAAGAAAAACAACACACACCAAAAAAAAAAAACAAUACAAAAUUUAACAAUAAAAACACAAAACGUAACAAUUAAAAACAAACUCUCUUUUUCAUUCCCCAUUUUAAAUUACUUAUUUUCUGGACUUCCUCAUACCUCCCUCUUUUGUAUUCCAAUCCACAUUAUUUGUCCAGCAGUUUCUUUUCCACUUUUUUAAACCCAAUCUUUAAUUUAAUAAAGUGUUAAAAUAUAUAACUUCAACUUUUUUUUUUAAACCUAAUCCUUGUUCUUAAUGUCAUAUACCUUUAAAUUUUUCCUUUUUAUUAUCAAAUUUCCAUUUCUUUAAACAUCUUUAAUCUUGAUCUUUAAUCUUAAUCUAUCCUUAACUUUAACCUGUACAGCUGGAAACCACUUAUUUUCAAUCCAACAUCACUCUAACAUUCUUUAAUUUUGCAGUAUUUCUGAAGAUAGUCUUUGAAUUUCUUCCAGUCUUCCUCCAUCGACUCUUCUCCCUGGUCACGGAUUCUGCCAGUCAUUUCCGCCAAUUCCAUAUAGUCCAUAAGUUUCAUCUGCCAUUCCUCCAGUGUGGGAAGUUCUUGUGUCUUCCAAUACUUUGCGAUGAGUAUUCUUGCUGCUGUUGUUGCAUACAUAAAGAAAGUUCUCUCCUAUUCUAACACCAUUUGGCCCACUAUGCCCAGGAGAAAGGCCUCUGGUUUCUUGGGAAAGGUAUACUUAAAUACCUUUUUUAAUUCAUUAUAUAUCUUUUCCCAGAAAGCCUUAAUCUUUGGGCACGUCCACCAAAGGUAUGAUUGUCAGUAAAUUAAUGAACAGAUGUUCAGGGGGGAAAUUUGGAGGUCAGCCUGAUCAUUUCCCCUGUUCAGAUGAAGCUUUUCAGCACUGAUAGCAGACUGGACCACUGUUCUUUUCUUACUCCUUGCAGUUAUUUUUGCAUGCUCUUUUGUCGUCCCAUAAACAGACAGAAACCAUUUUGAUGAAAUAACACAAGCAUGUGCUGGUGUUUUUUCAUUUUGUUGUUUUUGAUGUAGAGAAACCUAGUUAUCAUCACAGCUGUAAUUAUCAAUCUCGCCAUGACUAAGUAUCUCUUGAAUAAUGUCUCCAUAGAUUUCCAGACAAUAUUAGCCAGAGUCUAAACAUGGGCAUAAAACACCUUCCUGCUAUUCUAAGCAAGGGAGAGGGAAGAGGAAGAGAAAGGAUUUCUGCUUUUCUCUUUGUUGAGAUGUAAAAUAGGAUUUUAAUUUGUGAAUUGGUAGGAAAGUGCUGUUCCUGUCAAGGCAGAGUAUUGUACUGAGCGUGGUUCUGAAGCUAAGGUUCAUUUUCCAGAUGGAAAUGAGGGUGUCGGAUGAGAAAGAAUAUUUGCCUCAAUAUGUUGCUGUUUGUUGUGCCCAUUCUCUUUCAUCUGCCACAUAUGGUGUGCAAACAUACAUGUUGCACCAUCCAUGAUCUGUCCAGAAUUCCACAUGAAUACUACCAACCUGGUGAUCUUAUUAUUGGCGGACUUGCUUCUCACCUCUUUACCUCUUUUGACAAAGUAGACUUCACAGAAAGGCUAACCACCCAUCAACUUCUUAAUACCUUGUAAAUACUUCAUGUAUCAAGUAAUCAGGUGGUACAGAAACAUUCCCCAGCGCUAACCAGGCUUACUGAGAAGCAUGUUCCACUGAUUUUAGAGGGAUUUCCUUCCAGGCAGAGGUGUCGGGGAGGGGGGACCAUUUCAGAGCUUUUGAGUUGGCUUGGAAGGUGGGAAAUGGAGAUCAGAAUGUGUCGUCAGUGAGAUGAGAGAGUCUUCCUUUCAUUCAUGUGUUCUCUCUUCCCCACAUCCCACCAAAUUUCUUCCAAGAAGGGUUUCACAAGAGGAGCCACAACUUAAACUUACCUAGUUUAAGAUGGAAAGCCCUUCUCUGUUCUGAAUAUUGAACUUCACCUCUGAAAGUUUGGGGUGAAGGGUCUUAAAAGCUCACCUCUCCUUUGAGAUGAAAUUCUCAUUCAGAUGUUCUCAUCCAAGUCAGGCUAGUCUUAUAUGACCCUCCCAGUUUAAAAUGUGUCACAGGUUUGAAUAUGAUGAGAAUAACUCUAUUAAGCCUGGUUACCUGGUUCUCUGCAUUUUGAUACAGCUUUUUUGUUGGAUCAGCUCAGUACCUGUAAAUAAAUGAUUUCUAUAUGUCUAAGCCCAAAGGGCAGUCUGUACACUUUAUUUUUAUCAUGUUAGAUCUUCGGAUGAAGGGGGGUAUAUUAUUUUUUUUAUUAUUAUUAUUAUUAUUAUUAUUAUUAAUCAGCUUCAUGGUUUCAAAAUAUUUUAAGGCUUCUGUUGAUGUCUCUGUGUGACUGUCAAUGUCUGUAGCCUUAUGCUGUCACUAUGGUGCAGGCUUGUUCGAUGACAGAGGACUGGUGACAGGGGAAGAGAGGGAAUUUCAAUUAUAGACAGGGCUGGAGGAGGUCCAUUUAUUCCAAUUGGCCCAGGCAACAACAGACUAAUUGGCUGAAGGUUCUGAUCAGCCAAGAAAUGGCAGUUAACUGUCAGUUGGGGCAGUUGGGAAAUGGCAGUUAACUGUCAGUUGGGGCAGUUGGGAAAUGGCAGUUAACUGUCAGUUAACUGUAAGGAGGGAGGUGUGAGGGGAAAACCAAAGAAAGCUGAAGUGAAAGUGGACAGCUGAGGCUUAAAUAUUAAGCUAUAUUUUGUGUUGAAGAUCAGAACAAGUGAGCUGGUGUCUACUUUAAGGUAGGAGGCUGCUCAGUUCUUACAAAUCAGUUCACAUUUAAAUAUGAACCUACCAAAAUUUGCUUGCUCUAAAAAGGUAUCUAAACCAAAACAGAGCCUUCAUUUGAAAAUUAUAUUUCUCCAGAUUUUGCAGUGCAAUCUUCUAGCCAUGUAUACAAAAAUGCCUAUACGGAUGUAAAGUUUCCGUAAAAAUGCAUAUACAGUGGUACCUUGGGUUAAGAACUUAAUUCGUUCUGGAAGUCCGUUCUUAACCUGAAACUGUUUGUAACCUGAGCUACCACUUUAGCUUAUGGGGCCUUCUGCUGCCACUGUGCUGCUGCCACAUGAUUUAUGUUCUCAUCCUGAAGCAAAGUUCUUAAUCUGAGGUACUAUUUCUGGGUUAGCGGAGACUGUAACCUGAAGCGUCUGUAACCUGAAGCAUCUGUAACCUGAGGUACCACUGUAUUAAUAAAAGUGAGCUACAAGUAUAAAAGAGGGAUACAAUGUAUUCCUUCAGGGGAAACUCCUUUGCAUAUAUAAUAGGGUACAAUUUGCACUAAAAUGCUGAAGAAUUGUCAAGCAUUCCCCCCUUUUUAACUUUCAUAGCAUAUAUUUCAAAAAUAAAGCAUGAAAUUCUCAUUGCAGUGUUGUGCCAAAGAACUACCAGCAUAUUCUGGCCUUGAUAUUUGCUGUCAAGGAGAUCAAUGAGAACCCCAAGAUCUUACCAAAUAUAACCUUAGGAUUCCACAUCUAUGAAAGUUACUUCAAUGAAAGGAUGACCUAUCGGGCUGCUCUGAACCUUCCCUCCACACUUAUACCCAACUACAAGUGCGGCACCCAGAAACACCUGGUGGCAGUUAUUGGGGGACUGGACUUUGAUACCUCCCUCUACAUGGCAGACAUAUUGAGCAUCUACAAGAUUCCCCAGGUAAGAUACAAUCACCAUGAUCUUUUCUAUCCAAAAACGUUUUGUAGAAUUGUGACUAAAAAAGGAGGGUGGUCCUGCUCUUCACAAAAUGUAUUUCCUGUUUGCUUUGCAAAUUUAAUAACCUGUGUAGCACAAAACAGAUAGUAAUGAGCCAUCAGCAGCCUUUUAACAUGUCUGUUCUAGAUCAGCAGCCUUCUCUCGCCUUCUUAAACACACUUGCCUUUUCUCUCUGCUGUAGGUCUGAGCAGUGCCUCCCCUGACUCCUCUAACUAGUCUGGUGUCCCAAGUGCAGUGGAUGAUGCAGCCCUAUUGGUAUAUUGAAGGAGGAUUCAAUGGCAGGACCAGUUGGUUUCUAUCUCAGGCAGCAGAAUGUAUUAGGUGUGACCUGGCCUCACCCAAUAAACCAAGAAGUGUGGGUGGUAUGGGAGAAGGUGGCCCUAUAGAUAUAUGAGGUUCAGACAAUUUAGAGCUUUUAAAGGUCAAUACUAGUAUUUUCAAUAGGUGACUUUCUCUUUAUGUUUGGAAAUAGUUCUGCACAGAGCUUCUACUGAGGCAUGCAGAGAAUGGUCUGGAUUGGCCAACAAACGUUGCACUUUGGCUCAUGUGUUGGCAGAAAGGUCCCAGCUUUCAACGGAGGUAAAGGAGGCAUGACCUACACAAGAUUGGCAACAGCAGCUUACUACUCUAGGCCCUUUACACCCUCAUGCAUUAAUUAGAGCUAAACAUGCUAGUUAUAUAAGGCUGCAAUUUAUCCCAUGGUUAGGGCUCAGGAAACACCACCCCCACCCCAGUCCUGCUUUCCGCCUUCCUGACUGAGAAGGUACUGUGCUUAUGGGAGACAGCUCAUCACACCUUGCUUCCUUACUCCAACUACUCAAAAAAACCAACAAAAAAACCCCCCCUCCAUUCUGCAAAUUGACAUUUCUUCCAACUUUGCCUAUGGCUUACUGGCUGGAGACUUAAGCUGCUCUUUUACAAAUCUGGAAGCCUGCCUAUCACGAGGCAGCUGUGCACACGUUCUGACAUUUGUGUGUGAUUCUGUGCGUCUGUAGUACAAUAGAAGUUUGGAAAGGAAGGGAAGGCAGGACGUCCUAAAAUGAGGAGAUGAAAUGUUGUGAUGAAACAAAGGGGAUGAAAUGGAGAAGGAAAAUUAGGGAGAGGGACAGCAGCAGAUCAGGAAAGCAAGGAGAAUGAACUUGAGACAGAAGAUGAGAAGAAAGGAGAGCAAAGCAGGGCAGCACUCCAUGGAGGCCAAAUCGGCCACCCUCCCAACUUUCUGGAGUCUCCUUCCUGAGGCAACUGGCUUAUCUCAUCUCUAUGGUGGGUGGGCCUUGAAUACACAUACAAUCCUUCUUCUGCAUUAAUGAAUUAUGCCUCUUUAUUCCUUUUAGCUCACUUAUGGUUCCUUUGCUCCAGAAGAUGCUGGUCAAAGCCAAUCCACUUCCUUCUAUAGGAUGGUGCCCAAUGAAGCCCAUCAGUACACUGGGAUUGUUGAGUUACUUCUGCACUUUGGUUGGACGUGGGUUGGGCUGCUCGCAGUGGAUAAUGACAGUGGAGAGAGAUUUAUUCAGACCCUGAAACCUCUGCUCUCCCAGAAAGGCAUUUGCUUGGCCUUCUCAAAGACAACCCUGAAAAUCACAUAUUUGGCAGAGUUUUAUGAUUUGCAGUCUGACUUAAUUCAAAUCUAUCAUGUUAUUAUGGAAAGUGAAGCCAAGAUAGUUGUUUUCUAUGGCGGAACAACAUCCAUGGUUCGCUUGCGAAUAAUGCUAGUGCUAGGUGAAAUGGAAAAUAUUAACAAAACAUCUGUGGGCAAGGUGUGGAUUCUGACAGCACAGGUGGAUUUCACAGCAUUGACGUAUCAAAUGAGCAUGGAUAUGCAAGUCUUCCAUGGUUCCCUUUCCUUUGCAGUUUAUUCAACUGUGGUACAAGGAUUCAAAGCCUUUCUUCAGGUACAAAAUCCUUUUGAGGCAAAUGGAAAUGGCUUUGUCAAGCAGUUCUGGGCACAGGUAUUUCUCUGUUUAUUUCCAAACUCCAAUACAGAGGAGCAGGCCAGUGGAACCUGCACUGGUGAGGAGAAGCUGGAAAAUCUCCCUUCGUCUGGCUUUGAGAUGAGCAUAACAAGCCACAGCUAUAGCAUCUAUAAUGCUGUUUAUGCCGCAGCACAUGCUCUACAUGCCAUGUUCUUGUCCAGGACCAAAUACAGGGCAGCAGUGGAAGGAGGGAUGCAGAAGCUUCGGAAACUGCAGCCUUGGCAGGUAAUGCCUAUUAUAACGUACAAGUUAUUUGACAUGGGCAGUGAAAUGCUCUCUUUCAGUACAGGGUUAUAAAGACUAGGACUAGAAACCUGAGAAACAAUUUCUAUUCAAAUGCGAUUUUGGUUUUAAACACAGUGUAAGGUAGUCUCUAUGGGAGUAUAUUGUAUUAAGGGGUAUCAGAGUUUUUAGGGAGCUAACCAGGCUGGGAUAGCAGGGAUAGAAAGCUUGUUGGUUUCUGUAUGUCUGAUGUAGAUUUUCAAUUUUGUUGUUCUGUAUGAGACAAUGACAAUAAAAUUAUCGUAUUGUAUUGUAUCGAAAUGUAGAAGACCACACUGAAAAUUUCCAAGUACUGACUGUAGACUAGGAUCCUCCGCUUAACGUAUGCAGAUAAGCUGCUCCUCCAGUUGUUAAGCAGUAGCUGCGAAUCCUGCACUGUGCUGCUUCUUUGUUAAUAGGUACCUAUGUUUGUAGAGAAACUGUCAGUGAAGGAGGACCUGAUUUUGCUCUGUCCUGCUCCAUUACAGGCAGUUUCUCUGCACACAAGUUAAGGGGAGGAUCCAAGCCUACAAUGAAAAAAGGUGAGAUCAGUUCAGAGAAUUCACAUGCAGGCUGAGUUUCCCCAAAGCCAAACGGCUUUGUUGCCCAUUUCCUCCUAAAGUGAAGGGAAGUGACAUAGACUAAGCCUGGUAGGACAGAUUGCUCCAUGGCAUUAAUCCCCUUCAUGCGUUGAUUAGAUGCAUGAUGGUUAUUUGAGGCCGGUUACCCUACAAUUCUCUUCCAUGGGGUGGGAGAUAUCCAAGCAGUGGGAACUGAACGCCAUACAUUUUUCCUCAUUUCUUCUUGGUCAGGAAUGCAUUAGGAUUUUCCCUAUAGGAGAGAAAGGAAAUCAUUGGCCCUCUCUGUGAAUGCUCGCCUUACGAACCAUUUCCAAUGAUUGGAUUCUGCUUGCAUAGUAGUCCCUGCCAGUACUGAAUAUUGGAGGCAUCCUGAGUGUCAGAGACAUAUGCAUUACUUCAUAGUUCCUAUUUUUCUUUCAAUGCAGCUCCAUCCCUUCCUCAGGAGUGUCUCCUUUAACAACUCUGCUGGAGAAACGGUAACUUUCAGUGAGAGCAGGGAAGUAGAAGCUGGCUUUGAUAUUACCAACAUAGUCACUUUUCCAAAUAACUCCUUCAGGAGAGUCAAGGUUGGAAGAGUGGGUGGGGAGGCCGUCCCAGGCCAGCUGAUUUCCAUUGAUGACAACAGAAUGGUGUGGCACCAGAGCUUUCACCAGGUGAGGCAUAAUUCCUACAUCCAUGAGAGAUAGGAAAAGAGAAUAUCUUUAACAUUACAUUUCAACAGAUCACGCUCCAUUUGAGAUAUUUGUUCACCAGAUGGUCAGGUUGAGUACACUUUUUUUAAAGCAUGAAUAGAAAAAUGAGUAGUUUGGCUCUGAGUCUGGAAUAAGUAAUUUAAUGUCUUCCUAUUUCUAGUUGGGAGUGGGGGGAAAUACUACUAAUUUCUGUGUGCUAAAAUGUUUAUGUGUUUUUUUUAAAAUGGGCAGGUUCCACCCAUUUCGCUAUGUAACUCAAAUUGCCCUCCUGGUUCCAGGAAGGAAAAGAAGGAGGGGGAGCCAUUCUGCUGCUAUGAUUGUGCUCCAUGUCCCCAAGGCAAGAUUUCAUCACAGAAAGGUAGGAGACACAAUAUAUACAAGGUACUUUUGGAAUGUAUAAAGGAGACAUCUGUGAUAUUUCUAUUUGUAGUUGCUAUCCAGAACAUCUGAAAUCUGAAUAUAUUAUUUUCUCUCCAGAUAUGGAUGACUGUGUUGCAUGCCCCGAAGACCACUAUCCACACAGGAACCAAUCACAAUGCAUUCCAAAGACCAUCAGCUUCCUGUCUUUUAAAGAGCCUCUGGGCACGAGCUUAGCAUUGUUGGCUCUUUCUCUGUUUCUCCUCACAAUAUUAGUCCUUGCCAUCUUCAUUAAACAUCAGGACACACCACUUGUCAGAGCAAACAAUCGGGACCUCACCUACACUCUCCUCACUUUCCUCCUGCUCUGCUUCCUCUGCCCAUUGAUUUUCCUCAGCCCUCCAGAAAGAGUAAGCUGCCUGCUCCGACAAAUGGCUUUUGGCCUUGUUUUUACAGUGACUGUUUCUUGUGUUCUGGCCAAAACGAUCACGGUGGUUCUGGCCUUUGUGGCCACCAAACCAGGAUCCCGAAUGAGGAAGUGGGUGGGGAAAAGACUGGCAAGCUCCAUUGUGAUUUCUUGUUCCCUUAUCCAAGCAGGCAUUUGUGCUGUGUGGUUAGUAACCUCUCCCCCAUUUCCUGAUUCUGACAUGCAGUCUGUGAUGAGGGAAAUCAUUCUAGGCUGCAACGAAGGGUCAGUUGCCCUGUUUUACUGUGUCCUGGGCUACAUGGGCUUUUUGGCCAUUAUCAGCUUUGUUGUGGCCUUUUUUGCCAGGAAACUGCCUGACAGCUUCAAUGAGGCCAAAUUCAUCACCUUCAGCAUGUUGUUGUUUUGUAGUGUUUGGAUCUCCUUUCUUCCAGUGUACCUGAGCACCAAGGGGAAAUACAUGGUGGCUGUGGAGAUCUUCUCCAUCUUGGCCUCCAGUGCUGGCUUACUGGGCUCCAUCUUUGCUCCCAAAUGCUACAUCAUUGUGUUGAGACCUGAUCUGAACAGCAAGGAGAAGUUAAUAAAGAAGAAAUAACAAAUUACCCUAACAUCUCUGUUUUUUGUUCUAUCAGAAUAUGGGCAAAUUAAUCUCUCUUUUUCUACAUCGUAUAACCAUACUGUAUUUUAUCUGUUACAAUUCCUAUGUGCAAUUACUUUUAAAAUCCUCUGUGGUCUUUCUGAAAUAGGGGUCCACAACCUUUUUCAAUGUUUGGGAAACUAAGAAACUGUCAUGGAGACUGCUAAGUAUGAAGGCCUGACUAGAACAUCAGAUGGUGGUUAAUUAUACACUGAAAAAGAGAAAACAAUAUAUUGGGAGGCUUAGAAAGCUUCUCCUUAUUCUUUUCUAUGUGAUUCUCCAGUAAGUAAGGUUUCAGUGGAACUGCUACUAUCAUGAUUAAUCAGUACCAUUGAUUUCAGUAGUUACAGGCAAUAUUUGCUACACAAUUUCUGGUUUUGUUUUUUUUUUAAUAAAAAAAUGUUCCUCCAGCCUCAUGAGGAGCCUCUUCAGUAGGGCUGGUGAGUCUGGGCCUCGCCCCCUAGGCCAGUUGGAAAAGGUCUUGAGGAGAGCGACCUUCACGCCUCACAGCUGGGUGAUGUUCCUCCGGCCUCAUUGUUCUUUUUUUUUUUUUUAAUAAUUUUUUAUUAAGGUUUUAAACAAACAAAAAAGAAAAACAACACACACAAAAAACAAUACCUAACUUAACAAUAAAAACACAAAACAUAACAAUUAAAAACAAACUCUCUUUUCCUUUUCCAAUUUUAAGUUACUUAUUUUCUGGACUUCCUCAUACCUCCCUCUUUUGUAUUCCAAUCCACAUUAUUUGUCCAGCAGUUUCUUUUCCACUUUUUUAAUCUCAAUCUUUAAUUUAAUAAAACGUUAUAAUAUAUAACUUCAUCUUUUUUAAACCUAAUCCUUGAUCUUAAUGUCAUAUAGCUUUAAAUUUUUCCCUUUUAUUAUCAAAUUUCCAUUUCUUUAAACAUCUUUAAUCUUGAUCUUUAAUCUUAAUCUAUCCUUAACUUUAACCUGUACAGCUGGAAACCACUUGUUUUCAGUCCAACAUCACUCUAACAUUCCUUAAUUUUGCAGUGUUUCUGAAGAUAGUCUUUGAAUUUCUUCCAGUCUUCCUCCAUCAACUCUUCUCCCUGGUCACGGAUUCUACCAGUCAUUUCCGCCAAUUCCAUAUAGUCCAUAAGUUUCAUCUGCCAUUCCUCCAGCGUGGGAAGUUCUUGUGUCUUCCAAUACUUUGCGAUGAGUAUUCUUGCUGCUGUUGUUGCAUACAUAAAGAAAGUUCUAUCCUUUUUUAACACCAUUUGGCCUACUAUGCCCAGGAGAAAGGCCUCUGGUUUCUUGGGGAAGGUAUACUUAAAUACCUUUUUAAUUCAUUAUAUAUCAUUUCCCAGAAAGCCUUAAUCUUUGGGCACGUCCACCAAAGGUGAAAAAAUGUACCUUCAAUUUCUUUACAUUUCCAACAUUUGUUAUCGGGCAAGUGAUAGAUUUUCGCAAGCUUGACUGGGGUUAUGUACCACCUGUAUAUCAUUUUCAUAAUAUUCUCUCUUAAGGCAUUACAUGCCGUAAAUUUCAUACCUGUGGUUCAUAACUGUUCCCAGUCAGCAAACAUAAUGUUAUGACCAACGUCCUGUGCCCAUUUAAUCAUAGCCGAUUUUACCGUUUCAUCUUGAGUAUUCCAUUUCAGCAGCAGGUUAUACAUUCUUGACAAAUUCUUGGUAUUGGGUUCUAACAAUUCUGUUUCUAAUUUGGAACUUUCCACCUGGAAGCCAAUUUUCCUGUCCAAUUUAAAUACCUCCAUUAUUUGAUAAUAAUGAAGCCAGUCUCGCACUUUGUUUUUUAGUUUUUCAAAACUCUGCAAUUUCAGUCUAUCUCCGUCUUGUUCCAAAAUUUCCCAAUAUUUCGGCCAUUUGACCUCCAUAUUGACCUUUUUCAAGGCUUUCGCUUCCAUUGGUGACAGCCACCUUGGGGUUUUAUUUUCUAGCAAAUCCUUAUAUCUUAUCCAGACAUUAAACAGCGCUUUCCUGACAAUGUGGUUUUUAAAUGCUUUAUGUGCUUUGACCUUAUCAUACCAUAAAUAUGCAUGCCAUCCAAAUACAUUAUUAAAACCUUCUAGAUCCAAAAUGUCAGUGUUUUCAAGAAGUAGCCAUUCUUUCAACCAGCAAAAAGCUGCUGAUUCAUAGUACAGUUUAAGGUCUGGCAGGGCAAAUCCACCUCUUUCCUUUGCAUCCGUUAAUAUUUUAAAUUUUAUUCUGGGUUUCUUGCCCUGCCAGACAAAUUUAGAAAUAUCUUUCUGCCACCUCUUGAAACAAUCCAUUUUGUCCACGAUCUGCAAAGUUUGAAACAAAAACAACAUUCUGGGCAAUACAUUCAUCUUUAUCGCAGCAAUACGGCCUAGCAGUGAAAGCUUCAAAUUUGACCAAAUUUCUAAAUCUUUUUUUCACUUCUGACCAACAUUUUUCAUAAUUAUCUUUAAAUAAAUUCCCAUUUUUUGCUGUCAUGUUAAUCCCCAAGUAUUUAACUUUCUUAACCACUGUUAAACCUGUCUCAUUCUGAAACCUCUCUCUUUCAAACGAUGUUAAAUUUUUCUCUAAAACCUUGGUUUUUGACUUGUUCAAUUUAAAUCCUGCCACUUGACCAAAUUCUUGAAUCAGUUCUAAAACCCUUUUUGUACUAGAUUCUGGCUCCUGUAACGUCAAUACUAAGUCAUCUGCAAAUGCUCUCAAUUUAUAGUGUUUAAUUCCGACCUGUAUACCUUUAACCAUCUGGUCCCUUCUAAUCAUAUUCAGCAGAACCUCCAGGACCGAAAUAAAAGAAGUGGGGAAAUUGGGCAACCUUGUCGUGUCCCUUUUUCAAUUUUAAGUUCUUCCGUCACAACAUUAUUUACAAUUAGUUUAGCCUUUUGUUCUGAAUAAAUUGCACUUAUACCAUUCUCAAAACCUUGGCCUACCCCCAUACCCUGUAGAUUCUUCUUCAUAAAAUUCCAAGAAAUAUUGUCAAAGGCUUUCUCCGCGUCUACAAAUAUCAACACUGCUUUAGUGUUUAUAUUCACUUCUAAUUUUUCCAAGAUAUCAAUUAUAUUCCUCAAAUUGUCAGACAAAUGUCUUCCUGGGAGAAAGCCCGCUUGGUCUUUGUGAAUCUCUUCCAUCAACACUUUUUUAAAUCUCUUCGCCAAAAUAUCUGCAAAAAUUUUGUAAUCCACAUUAAGUAAUGAUAGGGCGGUAGUUCUUAAGUUGUGUCUUUUCAGUCUCUGUUUUUGGUACAAGUGUAAUAUAUGCUUCUUUCCACGACUCUGGUGCCCUCUUCCCCUCCAUAAUUUCAUUACAGACCUCUUUCAAUGGUUGAAUUAACCAUUCUUUUAAAGAUCUGUAGUAUCUAGAGGUCAAGCCGUCUGGUCCUGGAGAUUUACCCAGUUGCAUAUUUUGAAUGGCACCUUCUAUUUCCUGUUCAGUUAUUCUGCCAUUCAAAAUUAGUCUCUUUUCUUGAGAUAUUUUUGUAGUCCAUUUGUUUUCAAAAAUUGGUCUAAAUCUGUUUCUUUCACUGGCCCUUGAGUAUAUAGUCUUUUAAAAUACUUCUGGAAACAACUUCUAAUCUCUGCAGGGUUCUGUAUAUUCCUUCCUUCCACUUCUAAAUUCGUAAUCGUAUUUCGUUUUUGUCUCUUUUUCAUUUGCCAUGCCAACAAUUUACCACAUUUAUUAGCCGAUUCAAAAGUCUUUUGUCUCAUUUGUUUAAUUUUCCAUUCUAUUUCCUGAUUCAUUAUUUUCAUAUAUUGUACUUGAUAUAACUUUAACUCUCUCAGAACCUCUUGAGACUCCGGCCUCAUUGUUCUUACUUAUAACAAUGGUGGUAUUGCUAAUGGGCUUUGGUUCAGAAGAUGGAACUGGUUAGUUCUGAAUGAAUAUUUUGGAGAAAAAGCAUUUUGAACAUUAGUACAAUAAAAGUCCUUUUAAUUAGAAAAUACAAUAUUAUCUCACAUUCUUUGAAAAAUGGUGGAACAAGAAGAUUGGUAAAUAAAAAGACCAUUUUAUUCCAUGACCCACUAUGAAUACUGAAUACAUCUGGGCAAUUGUAAAGUUAAUUCUCUCUUACAUCUUGAUAUCUCAAAUACAUUAAUUAACCAUUCUUUUUGUAUUUGCUAAUCAUUUUUUCUUUAUUACAUCUAUAUAUCGCCCCUUAGAAUUGCCUUAGAAUUACAUUUAAGGAAGAUACCAAGAUGCUCUUGGAAUUUUAGCAGUCCCCAAAACAGCAAAAACUAGCUUACCUCACCCUAAUUGCAUAACAUACAUGGCCUAUUGCUCUCUAUCAGUCUACCCAAGAAGCGCAACAUUUAAGGUCUUAGCUGGUUGCUACAAGUUCAGAACUCAUGGCUCUAAGAAGCCUCUCUUGGACUCCUAUUCCAAUAAUUUGCAGCUUUCACCACUAUAACUAAGCCAAGUGUUACUGCCUGUGUUUUCUGACUGUGUAUGGAGAAACACAUGAACCUGACCUUUGAAGAAUUUGUAAGUAUGCCAAUUUUCACUGACCAGAUGUGUGGUCCUUUUCAAUGGUAAGGGGAGAGGGAAGUUUUGGAACUCAUGAGGGUAUAUUUUUUCCGAUCUAACAACCCAUAUUUUCACACUUUACUUUGCUGAAUUUUGUGAUUUGAAAUCUCUGCUAGGGUUCUCUCAGCAAAGAGCACUUGCCCCAAACCUGGAUCUUGGCGUCCAGGAAAUUCUCCCUGUUUAUACUUAAUUUUACUUGCCACCUACACAAAUCAUCUGCCAUAAUUCAAUCUCUUUCACAAUUUUUCAGUCUUAGUAUGAUUGUCAGUAAAUUAAUGAACAGAUGUUCAGGGGGAAAAUUUGGAGGUCAGACUGAUCAUUUCCCCUGUUCAGAUGAAGCUUUUCAGCACUGAUAGCAGACCACUGUUCUAUUCUUUUCUUCCUCCUUGUUGUUAUUUUUGCAUGCUCUUUUGUUGUCCCAUAAACAGACAGAAACCACUUUUGAUGAAAUAACACAAGCAUGUGCAGGUGUUUUUUCUGGUCAUUUUGUUGUUUUUGAUGUAGAGAGACCUAGUUAUCAUCACAACUGUAAUUAUCAAUCUCGUCAUGACUAAGUCUCUCUUGAAUAAUGUCUCAAUAGAUUUCCAGACAAUACCAGCCAGAGUUUGGGUAUAAAACCCCUUCCUGCCAUUCUAAGCAAGGGAGAGGGAAGAGAAAGAGGGAGGAUUUUUGCUUUUCUCUUUGUUGAGGUGUAUAAUAGGAUUUUAAUCUGUGAAUUGGUAGGGAAGUGCUGUUCCUGUCAAGGCAGAAUAUUGUACUGAGCGUGGUUCUGAAGCUGAGGUUCAUUUUCCAGAUGGAAAUGAGUGUGUCAGAUGAGAAAGAAUAUUUGCCUCAGUAUGUUGCUGUUUGUUGUGCCCAUUCUCUUUCAUCUGCCACAUAUGGUGUGCAAACAUACAUGUUGCACCAUGCAUGAUCUGUCCAGAAUUCCACAUGAAUACUACCAACCUGGUGAUCUUAUUAUUGGCGGACUUGCUUCUCACCUCUUUACCUCUUUUGACAAAGCAGACUUCAAAGAAAGGCUAACCACCCAUCAACUUCUUAAUACCUUGUAAAUACUUCAUGUAUCAAGUAAUCAGGUGAUACAGAAACAUCCCCCAGCUCUAACCAGGCUUACUGUGAAGCCUGUUCCACUGAUUAUAGAGGGAUUUCCUUCCAGGCAGAGGUGUUGGGGAGGGGGCACCAUUUCAGAGCUGAAGAUUUGGCAUGUAAGGAGGGAAAUGGAGAUCUGAAUGUGUCGUCAGUGAGAUGAGAGAGUCUUUCUUUCAUUCAUGUGUUCUCUCCUCCCCACACCCCACCAAAUUUCUUCCAAGAAGACUUUCAUAAGAGGAGCCACAACUUAAACUUACCUAGUUUAAGGUGGAAAGCCCUUCUCUGUUCUGAAUAUUGAACUUCAUCUCUGAAAGUUUGGGGUGAAGGGUCUUAAAGGCUCACCUCUCCUUUGAGGUGAAAUUCUCAUUCCGAUGUUCUCAUCCAAGUCAGGCUAGUCUUAUAUGACCCUCCCAGUUUAAAAUGUGUCACAGGUUUGAAUAUGAUGAGAAUAACUCCAUUAAGCCAGGCUACCUGCUUCUCUGCAUUUCAAUACACCUUUUCUUCUGGGAUCAGAUCAAUACCUGUAAAUAAACAAUUUGUAUAUGUCUAAGCCCAAAGGGCAGCCUGUACACUUUAUUUUUAUCUUGUGAGAUAUAUUAUUAUUAUUAAUCAGCUUCGUGGUUUCAAAAUAUUUCAAAAUAUUUUACGGCUUCUGUUGCUGUCUCUGUGUGACUGUCAAUAUCUGUAGCCUUCUGCUGUCACUAUGUUGCAGGCUUGUUAGAUGACAGAGGACUGGUGACAGGGAAAGAAAGGGAAUUUCAUUGUAUUAAUACCACUGUAUUAAUAAAAGUGAACUACAAGUAUAAAAGUGGGAUACAAUGUAUUCCUUCAGGGGAAACUCCUUUCCAUAUAUAAUAGGACACAAUUUCAACUAAAAUGCUGAAGAAUUGUCAAGCCUCCCCCCCCCCCUUUUAUAUUGUAUAGCAUAUAUUUCAAAAAUAUAGCAUGAAAUUCUCAUUGCAGUGUUGUGCCGAAGAACUACCAGCAUAUUCUGGCCUUGAUAUUUGCCGUCAAGGAGAUCAAUGAGAACCCCAAGAUCUUACCAAAUAUCACCUUAGGAUUCCACGUCUAUGACAGUUACUUCAAUGAAAGGAUGACCUAUCGGGCUGCUCUGAACCUUCUCUCCACACUUAUACCCAACUACAAGUGUGACAUCCAGAAACACCUGGUGGCAGUUAUUGGGGGACUGGACUUUGAUACCUCCCUCUACAUGGCAGACAUAUUGAGCAUCUACAAGAUUCCCCAGGUAAGAUACUUCCUUGGACUCUUCACACUCAAUUACCAUUAUCUUUUCUCUCCAAAAAUGUUUUGUAGAGUUGUGGCUGAAAAAGGAGGGUGGUCCUGCUCUUCACAAAACUUGUUUCCUCUUUACUUUGCAAAUUAAAUAACCUGUGUAGCACAAAACAGAUAGUAGUGAGCCAUCAGCAGCAUUUAAAGAUGUCUGCUCUAGGUGGGCAGUCCUAUUUCCCCUUCUUAAGCACACUUGCCUUUCUCUCUGCUCUAGGUCUGAGCAGUGCCUCCCCUGACUCCUCUAACUAGUCUGGUGUCCCAAGUGCAGUGGAUGAAGCGGUCCUAUUGGUAUAUUGAAGGAGGAUUCAAAGGCAGGACCAGUUGGUUUCUAUCUCAGGCACCAGAAUGUAUUAGGUGUGACCUGGCCUAACCCAAUAAACCAAGAAGUGUGGGUGGUAUGGGAGAAGGUGGCCCUCUAGAUAUAUGAGGUGCAGACAAAUUAGAGCUUUCAAAGGUCAAUACUAGGAUUUUCAAUAGGUGACUUUCUCUUUAUGUUUGGAAAUGGUCCUGUUUCCUGGGCCAGUUAGAAACAAAGAUCAGUAGCUUUGUCUUCCACAGCACAGAGCUUCUACUGAGGCAUGCAGAGAAUAGUCUGGAUUGGCCAACAAACUUUGCACUUCUUCAACAUUUAUGAAUUAUGUCUCUUUAUUCCUUUUAGCUCACUUAUGGUUCCUUUGCUCCAGAAGAUCCUGGUCAAAGCCAAUCUACUUUCUUCUAUAGGAUGGUGCCCAAUGAAGCCCAUCAGUACACUGGGAUUGUUGAGUUACUUCUGCACUUUGGUUGGACGUGGGUUGGGCUGAUCGCAGUGGAUAAUGACAGUGGAGAGAGAUUUAUUCAGAACCUGAAACCUCUCCUCUCCCAGAAAGGCAUUUGCUUGGCCUUCUCAGAGACAACCCUGAAAAUGACUCAUUUGACUGAGUAUUAUGUCAUGUAUUCCCACUUGAUCCAAAUCUAUCAUGUUAUUAUGGAAAGUGAAACCAAGGUUGUUGUUUUCUAUGGAGGAACAACAUCCAUGGUUCGCUUGCGAACAAUGCUAGCGCUAGGUGAAAUGGAAAAUAUCAACAAAACAUCUGUGGACAAGGUGUGGAUACUGACAGCACAGGUGGAUUUCACAGCAUUGACCUAUCAAAUGAGUUGGGAUAUGCAUGUCUUCCACGGUUCCCUCUCCUUUGCAGUUCAUUCAAAUGUGGUACAAGGAUUCAAAGCCUUUCUUCAGGUACAAAAUCCUUUUGAGGCAAAUGGAAAUGGCUUUGUCAAGCAGUUCUGGGCACAGGUAUUUCUCUGUUUAUUUCCAAACUCCAAUACAGAGGAGCAGGCCAGUGGAACCUGCACUGGCAAGGAGAAGCUGGAAAAUCUCCCUUCGUCUGGCUUUGAGAUGAGCAUAACAAGCCACAGCUAUAGUGUCUCUAAUGCUGUUUAUGCCACAGCACAUGCUCUACAUGCCAUGUUCUUGUCCAGGACCAAAUACAGGGCAGCGGUGGAAGGAGGGAUGCAGAAGCUACAGAAACUGCAGCCUUGGCAGGUAAUGCCUAUUAUAACGUACAAGUUAUUUGACAUGGGCCGUGAAAUGUAGAAGACUACACUGAAAAUUUUCAAGUACUGAGUGUAGACUAGGAUCCUUCACUUAACGUAAGCAUAGAAUUCACAUGCAGGCUGAGUUUCCCCAAAGCCAAACGGCUUUGUUGCCCAUUUCCUCCUAAAGUGAAGGGAAGUGACAUAGACGAAGCCUGGUAGGACAGCUUACUCCAUGGCAUUAACCCCCUUCAUGGGUUGAUUAAAUGUCUGCAUGGUGGUUAUAUGAGGCCGUUUACCCUAUAAUUCUCUUCUGUGGGGUGAGAGAUAUCCAAGUAGUGGGAACUGAUUUUUUUCUCAUUUCCUCUUGGUCGGGAAUGCAUUAGGAUUUUCCCUAUAGGAGAGAAAGGAAAUCAUUGGCUCUCUCUUACGAGCCAUUUCCAAUGAAUGGAUUCUGUUUGCAUAGCAGUCCCUGCCAGUAC
rnacentral:lncRNA from 1 species